GUGGAAAUGGCGCCGUUCUCAUGAGCGAGUAAAAUGUUUAUAGAUUUGUAUCAAAUUAACUUUUAUAUUGCCAUUAAAUAGAAGCAGUGGUACAUAAAUUAAUAUACUGAAAAGACAAUGUAGUAAGGCGGAAUUGAUGCUAACAAAAAACAAGAAAUCGGUGAGAAAUAUUUUAUAGAAGGUGAGAAUUUAUUUUAAUAUCGAUAUCCUGGGAUAACUCUGCUGUAAAUAUGUAGAAUAUUAACUAAAUACAUGGUAAAUAUAGUAAUGAUAUUUAUCAAUGCACUAUUGAAAUGCAUGUAUUCGCCUGUGUUAACUAGAACGUUUGAAUAUUUGGGAGCUUUGAGCACUGUGUUGUUAAGAAUUUAUUGAUCAAAAUAUAGAUGUGUUAUGUACUUGCCAAAAAUUUUUAUUUUAUAAUUUUUGUUUGAUGUUUAGGAAAUGUUUUACCUGUGGCAGAAAAUUUAAAUGGUGCCAUACAGGCAUAUACAGGGACAGUUGUCAAGAAAAUAUAUAAUUAAACAAGGUCAUAUUUGAAGAAUUUGAUGAAAGUGGUAUUUGUGAAUGACAAAGUUCAGGCAAGACAUAUUGGACAACAUGGAUGUACAUAAUUUUGCUGUUCAUUUAUUUCGUCAGUCAGGAACUGUCCGAACUGUAGUCUGCAUAGUGUCAUGUUUGUAUUAUAUCUUAAAAAUUAGUGUAUGCUUAUCACUUAAAACUAGCUUUAAAUCAAAAUUUUAAGUCAAAGUUUUGUCUUUUUAUUAGAAUUAAAAUCAUUCAUGAGAAAAAUGUGCCAAAGGGUUGAAAUUGCCCUUGUAAAUGUACACUAUUUUUGACAUGUUUGGGUGAUAGUAGUUUGAAAAGGUGUUCUGGAAGGAAAAUAUGUUUUGAACAAUACUAGUUGACCUUUAAAUUAUAUUAAACUAGUGUUAUGUAAAUCACAAAAGUUUGAAAAAAAUCUGGUCCAUACACAAUAUUUUGGAUUCUACAAGGUCCUGAAUGGGGCUUAUUUCAAUGUUGAAUCUGUUUACCUGGAAAAACAUAGAACAUUUAAUAAGUCGAGAAUUUGACUAUGCUCAUCACCCAAAACGAGGUUUUUCUAAUUGCUUUUUCACUAGGCUUUGUGGCAAUGCCAGUUAUCACUUAUGCAACCACAAAAAAUUUGUGCAGCACUUUUUUGUACACUGAAGAUCUGGCAACAUUUGAUGUCAUAUUAUUGCCAUCCUCUUUUCAUAGUAUAACUUAACUUAUUUUAGUGAGUUUGUUAAAGAGUUAUGCUUAAAAUAUACCUGUAGUAUCUAAGAUUUUUUCAUAGCAUUAGAUGAUAAAUUUAAGUUCUGUUUUCUUUUAUUUUUAGAUGAUAGUAUCUGUUCACAGUCUCGUUGGUAUUAAAUUUUGCACAAGAUUCAAUUUGUGUCGCAAAAUGUUAUGUAUUCUGUGUGUAAUGUCUAUUUGUCCUGUGUUAAAAAUAUUAUAUAUAUAUAGAAAACAUUAUUUGUAUCAUUAAACGUGAUACAGGACAUAAAAUUGCAUCGUCAUGGGAACACCUAAUGGGUCAUUCCAGAAAACAUCCAUACCACCCCCACAGAGGAAAUAGGAAGUUAACCCCCCUAUCCCCUUUGGAUGUCCUAAUACAGUUACUAUUAUCAGAAACAAUUUGUUCUCCCCUCCCCCUCCGGACGGCAGAAAUUUCCUCCAUGGGGGGAGUAUGGAUCUUUUCUGGAAUGACCCAUUAUCCCAUAUUAGAAUGCCACGGACAUGACUUGGGAUGGUGUGGUAGAUCAAAAUUGGAUUAUGAACCACAAAAAGGGAACAAAAUAGCAAUAAGCGUGUUCCAUUUACGUAAGGGAAAUUUGUGGUAGAAAAAAUAUGUAUUCCUGUUCUGUUCGUAUAAAUAUAGGCUAAAAAACUGUAGUGUAGGACAUAGGUUAUUGGUAUUGGUUAUUGGAUUAGUUAUUGGUUAUUGUUGAACAUGUUUUAAUAUGUGUGUGUGUGUUAGUUUGAAUUGCAAAUUGAGAUUUGAGAAUCGUGUUGGGUAAUUGUAACUUACAUCAUAGUAAAACGACGUGCACUAAACAAGUGUAAAUAUUGAAUCAUGAGCCAGCAACAGUGGCA